AACGAUAUAGAAUAUAUUGUUUUACUUCAUUUUUCUAAAUAUAGAAAAAUAUAGAAAGAAACUAUUAGGGAAUCAUUGCAAUAUAUCAAAGAGAGAAAUUUUAAUUUGUAUAAACAGUAUAAAACUGGUUUAAAAACAUGAACUCUAAGAGAAAUUCAGUAAUAAACGAAGUAAAUUGAAAUAUCUUAAUAACUUUAGGAAAAGAAAUCAAAAGAGAUUCUAUGAUUAGUGAGAAUGAAAAUAGAGAAGCCUUCCAAUACAUAUGGGAGGGUUUAGGUACAAUCGGGUAAUAUAAAAACAUUAAAUAUUAUUAAAAAUUUUUAGGAAAAUUUUUAAAGUUAAUAUAUAAUAUUAAGUAAAUAAAAGUUUUAUAAAUAUAAAAACCUAUGUAAACUAAAACCAUAGUAUGGUACAAAUAAAAAUUAACAAGUAGAAUGGGUUAAGACUUGUUUGAAUAAGUAAAGGGGAACCUUCCUCUAAGGCUAAAUAUGAUAUAUUGAGCGAUAGCGUAGAGUACCGUGAGGGAAUUGAAAAAUUAGUAGUUUUAUAAGCAGCUUGAGAAGAAAAUUUAAAUAACAUUAAAAGCGUACCUUUUGCAUAAUGGGUCAGCAAGUUAAUAUUAGAUGCGAGCAAUAACUGCCUAGAUAAAUCGGUCAAUACAAUAGUGAUAAGUAUCUAAAAUUAGACCCGAAACCUAGUGAUCUUACCAUGAUCAGAGUCACAAAAGCUCGAACGGGUUAUUGUUGCAUAAAUAUCCGAUGAAUUGUGGUAAGCUUGGUGAAAGAUAAAACUGACUAGGGAUAGCUGGUUUUCCGCGAAACGUAUCUAAGUACGUAAUUUUAACUAACAUCAUGCAGGUACAGAACUUGAUCUUACAUGGCUAGUCGAGGAGAUAUUUUUCAAUUAUAUCGGGGAAUCGUGAAGAUUUUAUCGUUAAGUAAUAGGUCUCGGAAUGGCAGUGAUGAAUGUAAAAAUAACAGACAUAGUAUGCUAAGGUUGUAUGUCAAAAGGGAAACAGCCCAGAACAAGUGUAAAUAUAAGGUUCCAAAAUUAUUGUUAAGUGAAAUAAAGAGAGUUUUUAUCUUAUUCGAUCAGGUGAUGGGCUUAGUGGCGGCCAUUUUUUAAAGACCUCGUAAUAGAGCACUGAUUCAACACCGGAAGACCUCCGGUGGAUAGAGACAUCUAAAAUUUAUCGGAUCUAAACAAUAUACCGACACCUUGUCCAUAAUUACAGUUGGUAUUCAAAUUAGAGAUGGUCUAUCUAAUUUAAUUAUGGGGUAGCGGAACGUUGGGUGAUAAUAUUCAAUUAUUCUUUUUAAGAAUAAAAAAAAGAUUAACCCAAGUGAGAAUGCUGACAUGAGUAACGAAAAAGGAUAAAAAAAAUUUUUUUUACCUCGCCUUAAGCUUAUGGUAUUAUAUAAGUAACGGCCUCUAAGUUAGUUGACCUAAAGGUCUAAACGAUGAGAAAAAUCUUGUGAUUAUUGUAACAACCUUAUAUGGGUGUAUAAGUGUUCUGGAAAAGCAAUAAACAACGUAAAGCUAUUAUUAACUUUACGAUAAUAAAACCGUACCUAAGUACCAAGAGGUAAGCUAGUAGAGAAUACGAAGGCGCUUGAGUGAACAAUCUUUAAGGAACUCGGCAAACUAACUACCGUAACUUAGGGAGAAGGAGUGCCGAUCCCCCGUUUAAUAUCGGUUUGGAUAAGGAAGCAUAGAAUCGUGUUGUCCGACUGUUUAAUUAAAACAAAGCACGCUGCAUUAAGAUGAAAGUCUAAGUAUAGAGUGUGAUGUCUGCCCGAUGCCGGCUGGUUAACGGAGUUUCUGGGCUGCUUUUAUUAUAAAUGUCGGUCUGGUUUUGAAGGAUACCCCGGUUAAUGGCGGCCUUAUCUAUGAGGGUCCUAAGGUAGCAAAAUACCUUGGCCACUAAAUAUGGUCUCGCAUGAAUGAUGUAACGAUACAACAGCUGUCUCGAAGAUUGGCUCAGUGAAAUUGGAAUUGCAGUGCAGAUACUGUAUACCUCUAGAUAGACGAGAAGACCCUAUGCAGCUUUACUGUUUUUAGUCAUUGCGUGUGAUCGGACCAAGCGUAGGGAUAAGGUAGUUGGUUAAACGUAAUUGAAACACCUUUUUGAGUCUAUCACAUUGCUGGGGACUACAUUGUCCUCCACUUUAUUUUGAAUGAAAUAAAAUGACUUAUUCUACUUAUCAACCAGUUUUAAUUAUUCAAUAAUAGUAUAAAGUGAUACAAUAACUAUUAUUGCCUGAGAAUUAAAGUUAAAUAUUUUUAGCUGUAAAUUCUAUAAACUACAGGGUAGUGUGAUAUUUUCACAAGUACAUAAAAGUUGAUUUUUCACAAAGGUAAUAAGAAAUGAGAACAACGGCUAAUUGGCAGUUUAUGCGGGGCACAGAUCCCAUAAAGAGUAGCUGGGUAUAUCCUAAUUCCGAAAAAUUUGGGGAAAAAAUUAUAUAUUUUUUCUUUUGAGUCUUUAUUUAAUAUAUAAAUUUUAUAUAAAUUUAAUAUUUCGCCGAUCGCCUAUGGCGAUUGACCGAUUUUUAAGAUGAAUUUGUAUAUAAGUGGAUAAGAUAUAUUACUUAUCUCUAUGUACAUUUAAUCACUAUCUUUUUAUUUAAAGUAAAAUUUAAUUUUAAAGCAAGUAAGAUUUUAACUAUAUCGAGGAUAGGUGUAAUAAAUAAAAUUCACAUUUUCUAAUCUUCUGUGGACUCAUUCUAUCUGGGAUGAAUUGUAUGAUAAUUAGAAGAUGUAAUAUGUAUUUAAAGUUGCUAAAAUCCAGUAUUUCAAUAUUGUGAAUAGUGAUUUUGAUAAUUACUUGUCAAGUUUAAUGGCAUAAUCUUGCUUAACUGUCUGACCCACGCGUCUAUCAGUCGCGUAAGCGGGGCAUACGAUCGCGGAAUGCACAAAGGACUGGUUCCGUAUUAUAGAAUAAAGUUACGCUAGGGAUAACAGGCUGAUUGCGCUUGAGAGUACACAUUGGGAGCGCAGUUUGGCACCUCGAUGUCGGCUUAGCUUAUCCUCAGGAACGCAGAAAGUCUGAAGGGUACGACUGUUCGUCGUUUAAAAAGCUACACGAGCUGGGUUAAGUAUUUAGCCCCUUCAUAACGUAAGUUAUGUUUUUAUAUUAAAAAUAAUAUAAAAAUCGUCUCAUCUAAAUUUAAAUUUGGUUAUGGGUACGAAUGAAACACUGACAGAAUACGGUGAAGGCUAAGGUUUGAAUUUAUUUGAACUAGGUUAAUACCGUGGGAGAGCUAAGUAAAUAAAUAUUUAUUUGUCUUAAAGGCUUCCCGUAAAGACUCAAUAUAUUAAUAUUGGACUUAUAGUAAAAGAAUUCUAUAGGUAAUUCCGUCAGCAAUUUAAUAAUUUUAAUGUCUUUUUUUCAAAAAAUUUAAUAGGGUAUUUACCUUAUAUAAACUCUAUUAAUUCUUCUAACUGAGAGCAAAAGCUCCGGAAAGAAUUUAAAAAUUUUAAUAUACCAAUUAGACGCUUUAACUGAUGAAUAAAACAAGUGGCGUAAUCAGGUUCGAAUCCUGAGUUUAUCCUAGUGGGCUGACACCCCACUUUGAUAAAUCGAGCUUUUUUAUUCAAGGGAUCGGCGCUAAGGUUUAUUAGCUUUAGCUAUGUAAUUAUAAAUCUUGAAUAAAAAUUAAUCGAAAAGAAUAAUUAUUAUGGAAAAAACAGAAUGCCAUCAUAUUGUGUGCUUCUAAGAGUGGUGAUGGGGUUAAAGAUUAGUCUUUAACUGGGAAAUUCGGCUCGGAUAUCGUAAACUAAGAAUUUCACUAUAGGUAUCUGAAAACAUUUAAGACCAUAUCUGGAAAUCGAUAAUAUAGAAGGUUUCCCGCGGUGAAAAGACCACGGGAUCUGUCGUGUUUAAUAGAAAACGUUUCAAGUCAAGAGGAAAUAUUACAGCCUUAAUGUCUAAUACAUCUUUAACUAAUUAAUGAAAGUCACAAAUAUCUUUAACAAAAAUAUACUCAAUAAAUGAGAAUUAAAUAAAAAAAUCACUGGAGAUUAUAUAGCAGGCUUUGUACAAGCAGAUGGUUCUUUUUCAGCAGUAUUGACAAGCAAAACAAGAAAUUCAAAACGAUAUUUUAAUAUCUCGUUGGUUUUUACUAUUGUGCAGCAUGAAAAAUAUAAAGAUCUUAUUUUAGAAAUUCAAAAAUAUUUUGGAGGUAUAGGUAACUGGUAUUUUAAUAAAAACGAUAAAACGAUAAGAUAUCAGGUAACUAAACUUUGUGACUUAUUAAAUAUAAUUAUACCAUUUUUUAUGAAACAUCAACUUAGAGAUGGUAAAUUAAAUAGUUUUUUACAUUUUAAAUAUAUUGCAACUGUGAUGUCUACUAGAGCACAUUGAAAUAAUAAAAAAAUGUUAUUAAGUUUAAUAGUAAUAGCAAGUCACUUAAAUCCUUUAGGAAAAUUAGGAAAUAAAAUAAGAUAUUUAACUCCUGAGGAACAAAAUUAUGUUAUAAAUAAUAAACAACCUGAAGGAAUAGAUACUAGCGAAUUAAAAAAAAGUAUUGAUAAUUUUAAACGAAAUGAAUUAACUUUAGAUUUUAUUCAUGGUUUGUUUGAUGGUGAUGGUAAUAUCUCAAUAUACUUUGUUAAACCCUCAGAGGCCAAAGGCUUAAAUCGUGCAAGUUCGGAAAAUGAACCAUUAGAAGAAAUAAAAGCUCAGCACGAUAAUAAAAAUAAUGAGGUGAAAGAAAUUAAAUUUUAUGUGGGUUGUUCUUUUACUAUUGUUCAAGAUAAACAUAAUCUGUCGCUUUUAAAAGAAAUUAAAUCUUUUUUUAAUGAGACAGGUGGUAUUCAUGAGAUUAAUGAUAAUUGUAGUAUCUAUAAAGUGGGAUCUAAAUCUGCCUUAGUUUCUAUAAUUUUACCAAAAAUGGUAGAUAAAAAUUCUUUAGAUUGGGUCGAUUGCUCACAAGAAAACGUAAACAUUGAUUUAACUUCUUCCGAACUAAAUUUACCACUAUUGAAAUAUAAUAAAAUAUAUUAUAGUUGUAAAAUUUUAAAGCUUUUAUCUAAUGGAAAUAAAUUAAAUAAUGAAAAUAUGGAUCAAAUUCUAGAGUUAUCUUAUUACGUUCGUGAUGAAUCAGAUAAUAUAACAUUAGAAAAAUACAUAGAAAAUUUUAGACAAAAAUGAUUACUUUAGGUAAUUUGACAAAUUAGAAAAUUAUUAUAAUUGAAGAUAUAGUCUAGACAAGUAUGAAAGUACUUGAAUAAUCAUAAAUACGUCGUGAGACAGUAUGGUUUCUAUCUUCUAGUGGUAGUUAGAGUAAAUUAAAAACAGGCCCUUUGUACGAAAGGAACUGGGAAUAAUAACCUCUGGUUUACCUGUUGUUUAUGUGGACGAUAUUAAUUGUUAUUAUACUAAAAAUAUGAUGCAAAAUGAAUUUUACUGACACUUAAGUAAAUAAUAGCAUAGGCACGGCAGGAAAGCUAUGUUUUACGCUCUCAGUGUAAUUUUUAAUUUAUAAUGUAAAUUAAAGACAUUUUUAUUACAAAUAAAAUUUCUGAGUUAUAAUUUGGCGGUGAGUAAAGAACUGAAAGCAUAUAAGUUUGAAACUAACUUUAGGAUACUCUUAAAAACGUAGAAUACUACUACGUACAAUUA
rnacentral:rRNA from 1 species